UAGCCAGCAAUGGAGCUGUAUAAGGUCCAUCUUCAAAAACAACCUUAUACAGCUAGAAAUUGAAAUACUGUGGCAUCGCCUUAAGGAAAUAAAGAAAUGAACUACACAGUAGACCAGUACAAACAAUUUACAGUUUUUGCCAGUUGCUUGAACACUAUAAACCCAUGCUUAGACUAAAGUAACACAACUUGAAGUUUUUGUUACCAUACCUCAAACACAUGUACCCAUACCUUAAACAAAAGCGCUGCUUUGCACUCUAGUUGCAAUUAUGCAACACACUUACUCCUUUAUGCAACACACAUGGUCCUGCAUACUACACUCUAUUUCAUACAUAAGACACUUCGUUCAAAAAUGAAAUCUUAGGGUGCCAUUUGGAAAACACAUGUAUCCAGAAUACAAAACACAUCGGUUAAUUGCAACCACUCAAAUACACAUCUGAAGGCACUUACUUGCAAAACUGAACACCAAUAAGCCAACUACAAGGACGCCAACGCCUGUUCACACAACAGCAGGAACUUGCCAUUGUGGACCUAGUGAGGGCAGACAAUGCCAUCCGUCUCCACUAGCUACGAAAGAAAAUACUUGCAGACAGGCAAGUGUUCAACAACAUAAACCAUGUGAGCAUCACCACCAUUAGACGCAUCUUGGGAAAACACAGCAUCACCACGAAGCAGCUGACGAGUAAGUGUAACUGUCCUUUACAUUUACAUUUACAAUACAGUAGCAUUUGAAAUCCAGUAGCAGCUGAAUAUGUACCAUAUCAGUACCACAUGGAUCCAUUCUGAGAGCUACACAGAGAAUCUUGGCCAUGGAUGGAGCUGCACAGCCUCAUGAAUUCAUUUUUAUUGAUGAAGCUGGAUUCGACCUGUGCAAAACAAGACGACGGGGUCGUAAUGUAAUUGGCCAAAGGGCAAUUGUGCACGUCACAGGGCAGCGCGGGGGGAAUUAUCACAUUGUGUGCCGCCAUAAGCCUUCGAGGGCUUCUGCAUCAUCAUGCAAAACUAGGUCCAUACAAUAGCCAACAUAUACUCACAUUUCUAGAUGCUCUCCAUAAUGUAGUUGUACAGAACAGAUCAGAUCAGCCCAGGUUUGUGGUGAUAUGGGAGAGCCCACGUAUGCACAAUUGUCAUGAUUUUUUUGUGUUUACAGUAUAGUGUUUUUUCUAUUACUGUAUUAUGUUUUUUUUUUGGCUCUAUCUGAAUUCAUGGUGCUGCAAUGUACAAUAUUGAGUAGGCCUAUUUGCUUUUUUGAUUGUUUGAAAAUGUGUCUCCUGAAAAUAUGCCUUCUGAAUAAACAAUGAAAAUCAAAGACUGCAGUGUUUUAUAUAAAGUAGACUAGUGUGUUCCCCCUGAUCUGAAAGUGUUUGCAUAUGAUGCAAGUAUGUGUCAUUUAGUCAACAGAGUUACAUUUUGACAAAGGAAUGUUAGGUUUUGAUAGCAGAGUUUAGGUUUUGAGAGUAGAGUUUCAAGUUGGCACAGAUGUGAAUGGUAUAUUUACCAGUGUUGUGUCAUGUUUACUUGUGUUUAGAGUUUU